AUGUUGUGCAGCCCGCCGGUCACGUCCAGGUCGGAGGCGCUGUCAUGUAGCGCCCUGCUGUCAUGGAGGGAAUGCACUUUGACAGGACCGAGCCGCCGGAGAUGCGCAUUGAGUUACAGCCACCGACAGAGCAGGAGAGCAUGCAAGCCCGGCCCGGGACGGACACGGCAGAUACGCUCCAUUCUCGCAGCCCAGUUGUUGUCGUGUUUUGCCUCUUAACAACCAUGACCUCUGACCCUUGACAUCAACAAAGAGACAGGCCAGUCAUGUGACACAGUGGCAUCAGCAUCGCCAUGUGAGUAAAAAAUAAAUAAAAUACUACGCUUCCUCAGGUUUAUCUACCCUCCAGUGAAGAUGGUUUAAUACAAGUGUUUGUGUGGGUGCUGUAGCGGGAGGUCAAGGUACAGAGGCAGGGUGUAUUCAUGUGUGUGUCCAUGCAGAGGCCCAGUUGGGGAAGACAAUCCUUUGGGGGGCUAAUGUUCGGACGUUCAUUAAAAGCACUUUUCCCCCUGACCUUUUCAGUGCGUUCUGUCUUAUCCCGCUUCAAAACAACAUCCCACAGCUUCCCUCACACAACCCCUGACGACCACCCACGCAAUGACCCUUCACCCCGACACUGAACACACACACACACACACACAAUCACAAAAUGCUACCCUAAUGCAUAUAGACACCACUGUGCAAACAGCACACACGCAGGAGCCUCUUCAGCUCAGACUCUCACACGAUCAUGUUGUGAAUAACAUGUCUGCCCCUGGAUGCAUAAGUAUAAAUCAUAUUCAUUCAGGAUCUGCUUUGUGAUUACUGAACUCAGGAGGAAGCAUUACCGUAACGUUUGGGUUAACUCAGAUUGGUCGCCCUGAAGAGUUCAGUUCACCAUUUAAUCAACUUCAAGAACCAUAUUGUCUUUCUUUCUGGUUCUACGUGCAUGUAAACAUACCGCUGUUGUGGUUUGAGAAAAACUAGGGGUAAGUAAGAAAAUAUGAUUUAGAUUUAGCUGAACCGAUAUGGAGGACCAUGAGCAUCACUUAAAUACCUAAAUUAAAU
rnacentral:lncRNA from 1 species